rnacentral:lncRNA from 1 species
AAAAAAGCACCUGUUUCUCUACCACCAUUAUCUAUACCACCUGUUUCACUUCCACCAUUACCAUUACCACCAGCUUCUAAACCACCAAAGGUAUCCCCAGCACCUGCAAAGGUUCCAAAAGCACCAGCACCGGCCAAAGAAGCACCAGCACCAGCACCUACACACAAAAAGAAAGCACCAGCACCCGCACCAGACAAAGAAACACCGGCACCAGCACCUACACACAAAAAGAAGAAAGCACCAAAAUCAUCACCUGUUCCUUCCCCAGCAAUUCUCCCACCAUCACCUGCACCAACACCUGCAAUAGACACACCAUCAUCAGCACCAGCACCAUCGCCUGAAGAUGAUGCGCCAGAACCACCGCCACCCCACAAGCACAAGAGAAGAAAACACAAGCAUAGUAAGCAUAAGAAACAUCACGCACUAGCUCUAGCACCAGAGCCUACAAGUUCAAGUUCAACAAUCAUUAGGAGGAGUCCCCCAGCACCACUGGCUGAUGAUAAUACUACAAUGAGUUC